rnacentral:lncRNA from 1 species
UCCAAUUCACCGGAAGAAAACAGGAAUUUGCAAAACGUGUGGCCACUCCGAAUUCCCUCACAGCUCCAAGCCCACUAUGGUUGGGGUUUACCUACGUGAAUGAAAAAUAAUGGGUGAGUUGGGAAAACUCAGUGUGUAAAAUAACCCAAUCAUAGUCUAAAUCAGCUCAACCCAUAGAAACAGAAUAAGUUUGCCUUAGCCCAGGACAGAAAUUUAGAAUAAAGCCCAUAGGCCCAUAACAGAACAGAACAGAUAUUACAUGUUUAUGCAGAAACCCAACCCAGAUUCAUCCAUAACACCCCCGUACCAACCUUACACCAUGUGGAGAGACUACUCGACCCACCCAACAGCUACACACCACAGAAAUCGCAGCGAGGCUGCCAGAUAUUGUGACGAAGUCACCAGAUACAGAUAUUGUGACAGAGCCACCAUAACAGAUAUAUGUGGUAGAGCCACCAGAUCAGAUAAUUGUGGCAUAGCCACCAGGACAGAUAUAUGUGGCAGAGCCACCAGAUCAGAUAAUUGUGGCAUAGCCACCAGGACGCUUCCUCUAUAGUAUAACCCAAGUCCCAAUGCAACAGAUAUAUAAUCAUGGCAUACAUCAUACAGAAUCAGAUCGUCAUGCUUUUCAGUCAAAAGUAACCCUAGGGGUAUAAUGGUAAUUUUGCAUACGUAGGGGUAUUCAAGUAAUUUAACUAUUCUUAAGGUUUUCAUACAUAACAUAGCCAUUUACAUACGAUCAGAAACACUUACCGCGUUUUCUUAAAAAUUUGGGCCCGUUGGCCCAUUAUCCCAUUUUUGGCCCAUUAAGCCCAAAAAUAUCGAAAUGCACAGAAUCGCGCACUCUGCAGUCUUAUCACUUUAAUUUACCAUGUACAUCAAACUAUUAAUCUCAUGAGCAUUCACACACUCACAAGAUCUCAAAAUACCAGCUUUUUGGCUUUUCGGCUUGUGCCGAUCUAGUCUAUAAGAGGGUGUUAGCUACACACCUGUUUGCGACGAUAUGUUGACGAGAUCCACACACGAACCGCCUUCAAUUGGAUUACUAACACGUUAAUCUAACUAUUCAAACACGAACUACUUAUUAAUCCCUUACAAUAUUCGGC